CCUACGGGGCGCAGCAGUGGGGAAUCUUCCGCAAUGGGCGAAAGCCUGACGGAGCAAUGCCGCGUGAGUGAAGGAUGCCUUCGGGUUGUAAAACUCUGUCCUUAUCGAAGCGAGGUGGGUAUGUGAAUACUGUACUCAUAAGACGGUAGAUAAGGCGGCAGCCCCGGCUAGCUACGUGCCAGCAGCCGCGGUAAUACGUAGGGGGCGAGCGUUGUCCGGAAUCACUGGGCGUAAAGGGCGCGUAGGCGG
rnacentral:rRNA from 1 species